rnacentral:tRNA from 1 species
GCUUCUGUAGUGUAGUUCGGCCAAACUUUCUUAUGAAAGAAAGGGUUUGGCAUGCGAGGCUCUCACCCUCGUGACCCGGGUUCAAAUCCCGGCAGAAGCA